GCUGCUUCCGAUGAGCUGGGAACCUUGAAGAGGUCUAAAACCUUACCUGCAUCUCCAGCACUUCGCUCCUCGACAGCCAAAUUUUCAUCAGAAUCUGGCUUUCCAAAUGAUUCUCAAUCUCAUCAGCAUCCAGUGAAGUCAUCAGCAAGAAAUAAGGCUAACAAGAGUCAUCCACUCCUUAGUCUGUUUGAUGCUCGCCGGAAGAGGAAAACUACGGCUAAGCCGGAAUUUACAAGGUA
rnacentral:misc_RNA from 1 species